UGAGGAAUAUUGCGCAAUGGGGGAAACCCUGACGCAGCGAUGCCGCGUGAGUGAAGAAGGCCUUCGGGUCGUAAAGCUCUGUCAAACGGGAAGAAUAGCUUCGGGGCUAAUAUCCUCGAGGUGUGACGUACCGUUGAAGGAAGCACCGGCUAACUCCGUG
rnacentral:rRNA from 1 species